rnacentral:rRNA from 1 species
AUUGAACGCUGGCGGCAGGCCUAACACAUGCAAGUCGAACGAGUGGCGGACGGGUGAGUAAUAUCUGGGAAUCUGCCUGAUGGAGGGGGAUAACUACUGGAAACGGUCGCUAAUACCGCAUACCAUCGGAUGUGCCCAUAUGGGAUUAGCUAGUAGGGGGGGUAAAGGCUCACCUAGGCGACGAUCCCUAGCUGGUCUGAGAGGAUGACCAGCAACACUGGAACUGAGACACGGUCCAGACUCCUACGGGAGGCAGCAGUGGGGAAUAUUGCACAAUGGGCGAAAGCCUGAUGGAGCCAUGCCGCGUGUAUGAAGAAGGCCUUCGGGUUGUAAAGUACUUUCAGCGGGGAGGCGGUACCCAAAGAAGAAGCACCGGCUAACUCCGUGCCAGCAGCCGCGGUAAUAC